GGUAUUGUGUAAUGGUAGCACAGCGGACUCUGACUCCGUAUGUAGAGGUUCGAAUCCUUUUACCG
rnacentral:tRNA from 1 species